CAGCCGCCGCGGGAAUACGUAGGGUGCAAGCGUUAAUCGGAAUUACUGGGCGUAAAGCGUGCGCAGGCGGUUUGUUAAGACAGAUGUGAAAUCCCCGGGCUCAACCUGGGAACUGCAUUUGUGACUGGCAAGCUAGAGUGUGGCAGAGGGGGGUGGAAUUCCGCGUGUAGCAGUGAAAUGCGUAGAUAUGCGGAGGAACACCGAUGGCGAAGGCAGCCCCCUGGGCCAACACUGACGCUGAGGCACGAAAGCGUGGGGAGCAAACAGGAUUAGAUACCCCCGUAGUCCCUGUCUCUUAUAC
rnacentral:rRNA from 1 species